AGAGUUUGAUCAUGGCUCAGGAUGAACGCUGGCGGCGUGCUUAACACAUGCAAGUCGAACGAAGCGUCUUUUUGGAAGCUUUCGGGCGGAAGAAGGGACGACUUAGUGGCGGACGGGUGAGUAACGCGUGGGUAACCUGCCUCGUACAGGGGGAUAACAGUUAGAAAUGACCGCUAAUACCGCAUAACCCGCUAAAGUCGCAUGACUUAGACGGAAAAGAUUGAUCGGUACGAGAUGGACCCGCGUCUGAUUAGCUUGUUGGCAGGGUAACGGCCUACCAAGGCGACGAUCAGUAGCCGGCCUGAGAGGGUGAACGGCCACAUUGGGACUGAGACACGGCCCAAACUCCUACGGGAGGCAGCAGUGGGGAAUAUUGCACAAUGGGGGGAACCCUGAUGCAGCGACGCCGCGUGAGUGAAGAAGUAUUUCGGUAUGUAAAGCUCUAUCAGCAGGGAAGAAAAUGACGGUACCUGACUAAGAAGCCCCGGCUAACUACGUGCCAGCAGCCGCGGUAAUACGUAGGGGGCAAGCGUUAUCCGGAUUUACUGGGUGUAAAGGGAGCGUAGACGGUGAUGCAAGUCUGGAGUGAAAGCCCGCGGCUCAACUGCGGGACUGCUUUGGAAACUGUAAGACUGGAGUGCAGGAGAGGUAAGCGGAAUUCCUAGUGUAGCGGUGAAAUGCGUAGAUAUUAGGAGGAACACCAGUGGCGAAGGCGGCUUACUGGACUGUAACUGACGUUGAGGCUCGAAAGCGUGGGGAGCAAACAGGAUUAGAUACCCUGGUAGUCCACGCCGUAAACG
rnacentral:rRNA from 1 species